rnacentral:rRNA from 1 species
GAUGAACGCUAGCUACAGGCUUAACACAUGCAAGUCGAGGGGCAGCAUGGUCUUAGCUUGCUAAGACUGAUGGCGACCGGCGCACGGGUGAGUAACACGUAUCCAACCUGGCCCAUACUCGGGUAUAGCCUCUCGAAAGGGAGAUUAAUCCCCGAUGUUGUUGUUAUGUCGCAUGAUGUUUCAACCAAAGAAUUUCGGUAUGGGAUGGGGAUGCGUUCCAUUAGCUUGUUGGCGGGGUAACGGCCCACCAAGGCGACGAUGGAUAGGGGUUCUGAGAGGAAGGUCCCCCANACUGGAACUGAGACACGGUCCAGACUCCUACGGGAGGCAGCAGUGAGGAAUAUUGGUCAAUGGGGCUAAGCCUGAACCAGCCAAGUAGCGUGAAGGAUGACUGCCCUACGGGUUGUAAACUUCUUUUGAUGGGAAUAAAGUUCAGUACGUGUACUGUUUUGUAUGUACCAUACGAAUAAGCAUCGGCUAAUUCCGUGCCAGCAGCC